UGUGGUUGAGGUGGAGCCGGCGUCGGCUGGCCCGGAGCGUGGGCGAGCGUCCUCGGAGCAGGUGCCUCAGGGCCUGACGCAACGACUCCCCCGCUUUUGAAAAUGAUCUGAGGUGCGCAUAAGGCCGGACUAAGCCUUAGCCUUCAAGGUGGUCAAAACAGGACACCUUUUAACAGCUAACUCUUGUUAUCACCAUCCUUACUGUUCGACUCUGUUUUUCAAAAUACAGUCUCUGAACCGUGCGCAUCAAAGCCGCCAACCCGAGAACGCGGACGCCGGGCCCCUGCCGCCCGCGGGGGUCGCCCACUGGCUUAGAAAAUAAACAGUAUUCAAGAAGGCCGAGGAGAACCUGGAAAGAGGCUGUUUCCCAGGAAGUGUGAUGCCUGAGCCUUUGGUGGUCUCCUGACCAGGGCUGGCAAGGCCGACCGCAGUUAGACUGCACCCCGGGAGGACUGUGUUGGUUGAAACCGAAGGCUUCGAGAGGAAGGCCGAGCAAUCCUGGUAACUUGGGCGCGUUGAGUCAUGGCCCGGCAGACUUACUCCGUUAUUAAUAGAAGAAGCCAACAGAAAAGUGGUUCAUGUGCCUGGACAGGGCUGGAGGGAUCCAUGUUUCCACAGCAGUCCCUUCAACCUUGCUUGAAUGUGGAGGCUGCAUAGAUCACAGCUCUGCAGACUACAAGAUACAUUUGCUCAAAAGGAACCACAGCAUCAUGGACAGCUAACCGCUACACUGUUCCCCGCCAUGUUAAAGCUAAGCUGAGUUUUUAAACUGUGUUUUAACUUGUGAAUAGAACUUCACUGAACCACACAACAGCAAUGGAGGCAGCCUGCUGUGCUGCCUUCUCUAUUAUGCUCUGCUAAGGGAGUUACUUUGUAGUGACAAAACUUCCCUUCUGGUGGCAUGACAUAUCCUAGGACUUUGAUGUUGGGAAUUCUUCCUUUCCAUCAAAUGUUGGUUCUAAAUCCACAGAACCAGAUACAAAAUUAUGAUACUAUUGAUGAUUUGAAAAGAUGAAAGGGAUUGACAACACAGAGAUGUGAAUAAUUUUAAAUAUAAUCUUAAAAAAACUUCGUUCUUAAAAUGUGAGAGGAAGAUAGACACAAGGAAGAGGGAACUGCCCUGGACAUUAGCAUGUCCGAAUGUAGUGACUAGACCUGCUGCAGCCAUCUUGCAACCAGAAAGGAGACACCUUAAAAACAAAGCCAACGCAAUGAGAUGACACAGCAGAAAGUGGAAAGACAAGCCCUUGAUGAGGCUAUUGAGCUGAUGAAUUAAACCUGGAGUAUACCUAUUAUGGAUUUCCUUUCGUCUAAGGUAAUACUGUGAAUGUCUUUAUUGUUAAACCAGUGUUUCAUUAUUUUCUGUAGAAAGCCUCCCAAUUGGAGUAAGUACCCAUUAACCUCCCCACCCUUAACCCAUAGGAUGUUUUUUCAUGCUUUUCUGAUUUUUGCUGAAGUUAUCUGUUGAGAAUAACAGAAAAUCCCAUCUCCUUAAGUAUGAUCAUAGGUCUCUAACUCAGAAAAUUCAUGAUUUAUGAAGCAAAGGAAGCACUGGAUAGGUGGGUAAGGUGAGAUAUCUGGUGAUGGAGGGAAUCCUGGGUCAGGUAAGUUGAAGUGUGAAAGCUAAGCAAGAGAUGCAAAUGAAAAUCAGAGAGAAAGCUCUUCUGAGCAGAUCUUUAGAAAGCCAGUCAUAAGGACCUAUAAGCUACAUCUUUGGGGAGACUUACGGAACCCACAUUAUAGUAAUGGUGCCAAUUAGAUCCAUGUUCUUUUCUCAAGGGGGGGAAAUCAAUGUUGAUGGGAUAACAGAUGGUUCUUGUCAUGCUUGCUUUCUUCAGAAACAGACCAGAUUCUGACGUGUCUCAUGAUGACAUGAUGAUCUAGAAAUGAGAGUCUUCGUUUCAUUUUUCCUGCAGAUACCCAAGAGGCCCAUGGUAUUGUUCUCUUUCAGUUUGGCACAAGUCUCACAAAAUAGAAGAAGGCCUUAACAUUCACUGUAGAGUAAUUCUCCCCCAUGACCUCUUGCCUUUUCCAAACAUCUUCAUAAAGAUUUAGUAAUAUUCUACUGUGAAUUAUAUGAGGGCUGUUUAUAGGGAUUUAAACAGUAAAUCUAACUAAUAUGCUGCUCUUGGCCUCAAGUCUCAGAAGUACUUACUUAUUUUUAUAUUUUAGGCAUUUGAGGAAAAUUUAAUUCUUCAAUAUAUUGUAUUCAAUUGAGUUUGAAGCCAUAAAGAGGAAGGAAAUAAUGAUUAGAGCAGAAAAAAAAUAGAAAAUAGAAAAAAAUAGAAUCAAUGCAACCAAAAGUUGGUUCUUUGAAAAGAUCAAUGAAUUAACAAAUCUUUAGCUAUAUUAACUAAGGCAAAAAGGGUAUACUCAAAUUACUAAAAUCAAAAAUUUAUUAAUAAGGGGACAUUGAUGAAAAUAGUAAUGUACAUAAUACUACCAUUUACAAUGCAUUUGCCAAAUACAAAGGAUUGUAUGAAAACCUUUAUAUACUUUAUUUCAAAAACCCUUACAACCUUUUAAUGUAGGUACAAUUACCCCCUUUUACAGAUGAGAAAACAGGCUCUUUGAGGUUAAAUAAUAUAUUUAAGGUCAUGCAGUGGUGGUAUAAAUGUGCAUGUGCUGAAAGAGAAUGGAAAAGUGAGGAGUUAUUUUUAUAUUCCCGUGAUAUAUUAAGGGUAGUUGUUAUCAGUAAGAGAACGAAAGUCUGAGAGAAAAGAAGGAAGGUAGAAAGAGACAUUGAGUUAGUCAAUUCCUUUAUUCAGGAUAGCUAGACAGGAACAGACAUUUCUCUGUUGGGUAUUUGAAAGUCAAACAUUUAUAAACCUCAGAUGUUCUUAAAAGAAGAAUCUAUUUUUUUAAUUUUCUGGAAAAAAAGAAUGUUCUCUUCUGUAUUAAAACUUCUUUGUAAGAACAUUGCUACAUUGUACAUUUGGCACAAAUUUUAUUUAUUGAAGUUUUUGUAAUUAUUAUUCAUGAAACUGGAAUUUUAAUGCAUAUUUUACAUAUAUGUCUUGCAAAUAAUAGCAAAUCUAUAGGACAUUCUUUGAAGCAAGAAGCAGUGGUGCUUAAUACUGUGCUACUUUUAUUUAUCAUCGCCAUUUUACAUAGAAACACAAUAAAACAUUUUUUUAUAAAUUCAAAAUUUUAAAGGAGAGUAGAGAAAAAUAUUUGAUGAUUUAGGAUGUAGACGAGGGGUAGCUGUUAUUUCUUUUUUAAAAAGGUCUUUCUUGGUUCUUAAUAUUUGGACUGAUGGCUGCAGUGGAGUUUCUGUUCUCUUAGAUCAAAUCCCAGUGAUAAGGUAUCUGUUCUUGACACCAGCAAUAACUGGAGUACUUAGGAUUAAACAACAUACUAAAUGUUACAGCAUAGAGGGGGUGAGGAAAGUAUAAAGUGAUAAGGGGCUCAUCAGCUUAGAGUGGUUGUUUUACUGUGAUACAGCAGAGUAGAAACUUGUCAGAAAGGAAAGGUGACAGGCAGGAGAUAAACAUGUGCCCACAUUAUCCAACAUCAAGAGCUGAAUACACUAUUUUGAAUUUUUAUCCUCAAGUUGCAAAUAACAACCUUCUGAGAAAUGAAACAUUAAAUAGGCAUGUAUUAAACCAA